rnacentral:tRNA from 1 species
UUUUAUAUAGUUUAAUUAAAAACAUUAUAUUUUCAAUAUAAAAAAAGUAAUAAAUACUUAUAAAAU